UACGUAGGGUGCAAGCGUUGUCCGGAAUUAUUGGGCGUAAAGAGCUCGUAGGCGGUGUGUCGCGUCGGCCGUGAAAACCUGCAGCUUAACUGUGGGCGUGCGGUCGAUACGGGCAUCACUGGAGUUCGGCAGGGGAGACUGGAAUUCCUGGUGUAGCGGUGAAAUGCGCAGAUAUCAGGAGGAACACCGGUGGCGAAGGCGGGUCUCUGGGCCUUACCUGACGCUGAGGAGCGAAAGCGUGGGGAGCAAACAGG
rnacentral:rRNA from 1 species